AUCUGAUAUUAAUAUGGAUACCCCUCUCUUUUUUGAUUACUAUUUUCAUGGAAUGCUUUUUCUCUAUCUUUUCAAUUGAUUUUUCUCUUAGGACCUAAAGUGAGUCUCAUCUGUGCAUUAAGUACAGAAGUUUUGAUGCAGAUUGUUGAUAGGUUGAGCUGAUUAUUACUAGUUUCAUUUGGAGUGGUACCUCAAGAAAGGAACAUAGCAAAAAACAAUCAAAACUGAAAGAGAAUAUAGAAUGAUCAGUAACUCUAGAAUUUAAACCUUCUUGAAGGUAAAAAAAUUAUUUUUUAUCUUCACAGGCUGAAGAUAAAAUAAAUAUUUUGAGUUUAAAGGCUUUCUAAGACUCAGCUUCAUGGUUACAACCUAUAUCAAGGACUCAAUUUUAAGGAAACGGCCCCACAGCAUACAUCAAAAUAUGACCGUAGUUGUCACAUUUUUGGUUAGAAACUCUAAAUGGCUUAAUAUGGGACUCAGUAGAUCAUUAUAGUUGGACAAAAUGACUUCUAUACUGGAUACAAAGGGUAUAAUACCACUGGAGGAAGAUAUUGCCAAAGGAUUUGUAAAUGAGAGAAAGAGAGACAUUCCAUAAAAAGAAUUGUAAAGUGACUUUUGACAUAUAGGGCUGACUGGAUCAAACUCACUGCCUAAAAAAAAAAUUACAAAAGUACAUCACCCUGAAUUUGAGAGUGAAAGAGAACAUUGGGGUUCCAACUUUAUGCAAGCAAGAAACAGGCUUAGGAAGCUGGUUAAGUUCUAAGAAAGUUAUAUUCUCUGAUUAUGUUUUCAGAUGUGGCCAACAAUGAAGAAAGAGAAGAUAUUAUGAAGGGUAGAUCAAAGAACCAUGUUGAACAAUGGAAUGCGACUAAAUUUAAGAGCUCCUUGAUCAAGACUUUUGUUUUUUAAAAGAGAAGAGACUAUGAGAGCAAUAUAUAUCAACCCAGUCAAAGUUUGCUGAGUAGUGAAACAGCUUGGUAGAGAGAAGGCAAAUUCCUUUUAUGCCUGAGGCAUAAGGCAUGAACCACAAUGUUUUAUCAGGAACCUACUCUACUAUAUUAUAUGUUUAGUAGAGAAUCACCCUAAUUUCCCUUGUCUGUUAUAUUUUUAAGUGUUGUCCUUUUUUUUUCUAAGAUAUUGUAGGUUUUUAUUGAAUCUUAGGGGACAUUUUCACAGAUAACUGUUAGUCCCCAAAGCGAAAUAUGAUAGAGGUCUGGCUUAACUGGGAAAGACCUUAACUGCAGAUGACUCUGAGCUAUGAUUAUCUAACCUCAGGUAUAGAGGUUAGAUAAUCUUUUCGGUGACAUGACCUAGAGAAUCCCUUAUGAAAAAAGUUCCAGAGAAUUGUCUAUACAUAAGAAUAUCCUUCAAAGUCAACAUUCUCAGUGGAAAUAAAAAUUAUAUUCACUGUCCAGAAAUCCAUGAGAAGAAACAGGAAUGAUGAAAUCAAGUUUAGCCUUUCCAAAGAGCUCCUCAAUAUAAGUUUAUUCAAUAUAGAAUGGAAUUUGCUAUGAAUUUGGUGUGGCAUGGAUUCCAUUUAAGGCAUUAUAAUUAAUGAAGAAUCAACAUAGCCUAUUUAAAAAGUGGCUUUAACCAAACAACUAGGGGAAUAUCUUAAUAGCAUUAUGGGGCUGAAGGAGAAGAGACAAACAUUUGUUGAAUAGCUGAGCUAGAUAUUGUAUACCUUUAGAGUGAAAUUUCUGAGUGUUUGUUCUAUGGUAUAACAUUGUAUCUGAUGUAAAAAUACACUGAAAUGUAAGGAUUAGUGACAAGUAAUAAGUGAGACUUGAUCUUGGAAACACAUCCUACCUAAUUUAGUCCACAAAUAGAUGUGUUAAAAGGUCUGAAUGAAGAUGGUCACAUCUAACUACACUUUUAGAGUUCCAAAUCUUGAGUGUGCUCUAUAUCCAAAGGAUGCUUAUGGAUGAAUUCAUGAACAAGGUUUUCCGCUCUUUGAAUUCUAUGGAAACCUCUUUGCUCCAUCAAUGAGUUCUCAGUCUAGUUUUAACAGACUGCCACUGGUUUUAAAUAUCUUUAUUCUUCUCUUUGAAAUGGUGCUAUUAAUGUUUCUUUGAUUUGGGACAGCCACUGUGGUUCCCCUGGGGAAUACAUGUGGCUCCCAAUGCAGGGGCUACUCUCUGGAGAAGAGCCAGGCCCUAGUUUGGCAGCUCAGAUUCUUCCCAAGUAUUGCUAAGUGGCAUCUGCUGUGGAGCUGCUUUGUAAUAGCCGCUUUUCUGAGACUUAAGAAUUCAUUAUUUUCAAGAAGUCCGUGAGAACCAAAACCAGAACUGAAAUCUGUCAGGCUCAUUUUCUUCUUCAGAAAUCCAGAGACCUUUGCAGACCAAACAGAACACGCCAUUGUUCUUGUUUACUUGCUACUGUUCCUCUGUGUCCUCUGCUUAGUGCAGCCUGAGUCAACCGAUGUCUCCACGGCAGUCUUGGAGCCAUGUCCGUAGCGCCCCCUCUAGGCUGCAUGCAGAGUGCCAACAAUCGGCCCUCCAUUCCUUGAGUAGAGGGAAUUUAUUUGCUCUUAUUUCCGGAGGCAAUCUCAUAUCUUUCAAAGACUCUAACGGGAAAGGCCAGAGAGGCGAUUCUCCUGCUUGAGUCUUAAGGGGUUUGCUGCAUAUAUCCUCCUGUGCACAAAAGGGAGUCCUGGGAUCUUUAUUUUCUGUCUCAGUGGUUUUCUCCAUCUGCUGUGAGAUACAGCCAGGACAUCUGAAGUGAGGCCAAACCCAGCUAGUUUGGCUGAUUUUAAGCAGGGUAUCUCAGUGCUGGCAAACAGAAGGGUAAUGGGAAUUAGAAGGAGGGGAAAAACAGCAAUGAAAAUAUAAAUCAAAGAAAGAAGGAAAUCCAUUUGCUCCUUGGCAGCAGAGACAGUGCUCCACUAAUCCAUGCUGAGUGCAAUCCAAUACUCCUUUAUAUAAUCCUGUGCCGGUGGAAGAAAAUUAAAGUUUAAUGCAAUAACAGCUGACACAAAUCACUUUUGUUGCCCA